CUACAAAUUUAUCCAAAAUGCUUACAUAUAAAGGAAGACAAUUCAUGUCUUGUAUCAACUUUUUCUGCAAUAUAAACACUUUUAAACCCAUAUCGUUAUGUAUUUCUAUCUGCCCUGCAUUAGGAGUGAUUUGAUAUUCCACUAGAAUACGUUUGAUGGUUAAAUCCACACUUAAGUGAGAUGCCAAAAACAUCGUGCAGCUCAACGAAUGUGGCUGAUGUGCUCAACAGUAUAGCAUCAGUGACAUAUUCUUCGAAGUUCUUUUCAUACGUCCAUCGACCAAAGUGCUUCACAAGGACUGGUAUGCUUCCCAUUUCUAAAAUACAAAAUACACAAACUAUUUGAUCAAACAGAAGUAAAACAGGCACCAAACAUAUCAUCACAUAUACACUUAUACUCUCAAAUUUCC
rnacentral:lncRNA from 1 species